AAAGGACCUCAUCUUCCAACGCUGAACCGCAUAUCAUGCUGUCUGUCUGACCUGUGUUGACCCAGGUGUUCGGUAAGGCGAUGAUUAUCUUAAAUCUACCUUAGGUGUGAACCGCAUUAUACAGUGGUGUCGGGGGGAGGGGGCGGCCUAUAUAAGCUCAAUGAGACACUCAGAGCGAGGACAGUGCUUCCAUCCAUCAUCCGUGACUGACCUCAUCUUCCCCACAGUAUUCCUCUCAUUAAGUUAAAGGACCUCAUCUUCCAACGCUGAACCGCACAACAUGGAGAAAGGGGAUAGCAUAUAUUCGAAAUACUUGGAAGCAUUGGUGAAGAGAAGAUUAUCGAUUAGAAAGCAGCGUUCGUUGGUAAUCGAGAAAGGCGGUGUACAACGCAAUGAAAGGUUAUUGCAAUUGGAUAAUGAGUGGGCACGUGUAGAUGCUUUAUGGAAGAAGGCUAUAGAAACAGGAAAUACACCUGGUAGUAAU